GCUAAAGGAAUGGGACUGUUGUCGUCUCCUGGUCCUUUCCACGACACUGAAUUCGAGAACUGGACUAGGUUCAAUGAAUCUGGUCAGCUCAUGGCCCCGCCGCCGCCCUAUAAAUUAAGCCCGCAUAUUACUCUGCUCUGGCAGGCUGCUGGGGCCGUUGGACUUUGCAUCUCCCCGUCGCUCUUCUUCGCACUCCAUCUUCCUCUCGUGGCAGAGAAAAGGUUUGAAUAGUUCCGAGUGAUAAGUCCCGCUUUGUUGAUCAUGGGUUAACUGGUCGCCAGCCCGCCCCUUCUCGUCGUUCAAGGGACUCGAAGAAAGUAAGUUUCAGCUGUGUUGAAGCGGUAGGACGCAUUUGCAUGGAGUACUAGUUCGGAGAUGCUACGAUGAUGAAUGGAGUCGUAAAGUUGUUGCUAAUCGGUUCUGAAUGUGCGUGCAUUGGCCUGAUUCAAAUAUGAAAACCACGAGAGAUGGACAGAAGCUGAAGACGAAAACCAAGGAAAUGUUCAGGAUGAUGUUCAGGAAAUGUGUCUGAUUUGUGACAAGUUCUUCGUAUUCUGAAGCAUUAUCUGCACUGGAUUCAGGUCUCUGAACAACAAUUUGUUUGUGGACGCUAUUAUUUCAGCAGUUCCAUCUGCUCUCUCGCACUUGAAUGGAACCUCAGAAAACUCGAUCGUUAAAACGGCACGGCAUUGCUUGGAGUUGUAGGAGUUCGUCCUCGACCAUGACAAGAAAUAAAGGAUUCGUGCAAUGGCACUCGGCAGAAAUUCUUUCACCGUGCAACGUUUUCAUACGCCGGGUCGCACAUCCACCAUAAAAUAGAGCAUCAAAAAGGAGCUGCCAAGCUGCUUGGAAUGACAGAUUGGGAUACACCCCGUUUGUUCAUCCGUGGCGCUGCUUCUCUCGACGACAUGCCUGUGGUACAAGUCGUCCUCAUCUUCCAUGUGAAGAGUUCCCCUUCGUGACUUCAAAUGUGUUCCGACAGUUAUUCAUUCUGUAGUACUUUAUUGAGACUAUGGUGAGUUCGAUGCGAGUAGCGCAAGCUGGCGACAACAUGUUUGCCUACUCAGGUCUUCUCAGCGCGAGAUCGUGCUUUUUUUUCCCUUGUGUGUCGUCAGUUGUCAUAAGUAUUUACCACUUCUCAUGCACAAUAACAGGAAAUACAUACUGAAUUGGUUGGGUUCUCUC